GAUGAACGCUGGCGGCGUGCCUAAUACAUGCAAGUCGAGCGAACGGACGAUAAGCUUGCUUCUCUGAUGUUAGCGGCUGACGGGUGAGUAACACGUGGAUAACCUACCUAUAAGACUGGGAUAACUUCGGGAAACCGUAGCUAAUACCGGAUAAUAUUUUGAACCGCAUGGUUCAAAAGUGAAAGACGGUCUUGCUGUCACUUAUAGAUGGAUCCGCGCUGCAUUAGCUAGUUGGUAAGGUAACGGCUUACCAAGGCAACGAUGCAUAUCCGACCUGAGAGGGUGAUCGGCCAAACUGGAACUGAGACACGGUCCAGACAACUACGGGAGGCAGCAGUAGGGAAUCUUCCGCAAUGGGCGAAAGCCUGACGGAGCAACGCCGCGUGAGAGAUGAAGGACUUCGGAUCGUAAAACUCUGUUAUUAGGGAAGAACAUAUGUGUAAGUAACUGUGAACAUAUUGACGGUACCUAAUCAGAAAGCAACGGCUAACUACGUG
rnacentral:rRNA from 1 species